rnacentral:snoRNA from 1 species
UGGUAAUGAUGAAAGAAAGGCCGGACUUAUAGUUGCCCCCAUAAUGGUUGGUAGUAGGUUGAUGACAAGUUCUAUAAGGUCAUCCGUAGUUAU